AUAAUACUCCCUCCUUCCCAAAUUAUAUAUCUUAGAUUUGUCUGGAUACGGAUGUAUCUAGAUACAUUUUAGUGCUAGAUACAUCAAUAUCGAGACAAAUCUAAGACUAUUAAUUUGGGACUGAGGUCAUAACAU
rnacentral:pre_miRNA from 2 species